GUGUUUGCUUCAGCAGCACAUAUACUAAAGUUGGAAUGAUACAGAGAUUAGCAUGGCCUCUGUGCAAGGAUAAAACACAAAUUUGUUAAGCACUCGUAUUUUAA